GGUUGUUUUUUUUUAGGUGGAUAUGUGCAGUGAUGAAUAGUGAAGGGGGAGGAAGGGGUCGGGAGGGGUGGGGGUAGCAGUAGCGGCAGCGCUCUUUUCAGGCAGUGGCUUUCAACCAGAAAAGGAAAAAAAGCUAAUCCUUAAAUCGCUCAGUUAUUUAUGAAGAAACUACAUACAUCUGGGCUACGAAAUUAUUGAAAAUGUCAAACCCAUUCAAAAUUAAUCGAUUUCAGUGUGAUAUGCACAAAAGGAACAAUUCCAAGGCGCCUUUGUGACUAUACAAUAUUUAGGGUCUGGAAUGAUAUCUUGUGAAAGGUAAGAACAAGAAGGUAUCACUUGCAACAGUCAAAAGUCAACUCGUUUAGCAUGUUUAAUUAGGAUUCUUAGCAACCUUAACACCUCACUCUGUUUACCAUAGGCAACCUUCCCUGUAUGUCUUUGUGAAGGUGUUCCAGUCAAAUGGGAGAGCCCAUACAAGCAAAAACAGUGGUCCUGAUCAAAUCUGAGUAUUCCAAAACGGCAUCGCUCACUAUUCAGAGUAUAUUCUUCGUGUAAAACAGAAAAGAGCCAGUAAAGGAAAACUGAGCAGCAAACCACAACCAGAAAUACAGCUUGUCUUGAACUCCCCUCACAAAGCCUUCACUACGCUCUCUUAUGUCUUUCUCAAAUCCAAAAUGGUGGGACAUUAAAUUUUCAAGUAUUUGAGCUCAUUGAGAGAAGCGGCGCUGUCCUUCUCUAACCCCCGUAGUCUAGCAACACGGAGCAAGCCUCAAUGCGCGUUACUUUAUCAGUUCUGCUUGCCGGGCUAAAUUAAAAUGAUGGUGAAAAUGCCGAUCGCUCCAGCCACUGAGGGGACUGGUAGGGAAAUGGUCCAUUAAACCCAGAUCAGGAGCUAUUUAUAGAACUAAGCGACUACUCGUUAAUGUCGCCAGCGGCUACCAGUGAAAUCUCUCACAGACACAGGGCUAAACAUUUGCACCCUGAUUCUUUUUUCCGUUCAAACUUCCAGGUGACAAAACGCUUAAUGAAUGAACUUCGACUCGACCAAGCAGGGAAAGAGGUUUAAAUGCUCCUUUGCAUCGAAAAAAGGAGAUCCGUAUUUUCUAGUCAGAUAAGGCUGAAAAAUUUCAGACAGUGAGAGGCGGCGAA